rnacentral:rRNA from 1 species
GGACGAACGCUGGCGGCGUGCCUAACACAUGCAAGUCGAGCGGAGGUAUUCAAGGAGCAAUCUGCGGAUACUUUAGCGGCGGACGGGUGAGUAACGCGUGAGCAACCUGCCUUUCACAGGGGGAUAAGGCGGCGAAAGCCGCUCUAAUACCGCAUGAGACCCCGGUGGUGAUACCACAGCGGUCAAAGGAGCAAUCCGGUGAGAGAUGGGCUCGCGUCCGAUUAGGUAGUUGGUGAGGUAAAGGCUCACCAAGCCAAUGAUCGGUAGCCGGCCUGAGAGGGUGAACGGCCACAUUGGAACUGAGAGACGGUCCAAACUCCUACGGGAGGCAGCAGUGGGGAAUAUUGGGCAAUGGGGGAAACCCUGACCCAGCAACGCCGCGUGAGGGAAGAAGGUUUUCGGAUUGUAAACCUCUGUUCUUGGGGAAGAGCAGAAGACGGUACCCAAGGAGGAAGCCCCGGCUAACUACGUGCCAGCAGCCGCGGUAAUACGUAGGGGGCGAGCGUUGUCCGGAAUGAUUGGGCGUAAAGGGCGCGUAGGCGGCUGUGUAAGUCAGUAGUGGAAGUCCAGCUUUUAAGGUUGGAAGUGCUAUUGAAACUGUGCAGCUUGAGUGCAGGAGAGGUUAUCGGAAUUCCCGGUGUAGCGGUGAAAUGCGUAGAGAUCGGGAGGAACACCAGUGGCGAAGGCGGGUAACUGGACUGCAACUGACGCUGAGGCGCGAAAGUGUGGGGAGCAAACAGGAUUAGAUACCCUGGUAGUCCACACUGUAAACGAUGAAUGCUAGGUGUAGGGGGUAUCGACCCCUUCUGUGCCGGAGUAAACACAAUAAGCAUUCCGCCUGGGGAGUACGGCCGCAAGGUUAAAACUCAAAGGAAUUGACGGGGACCCGCACAAGCGGUGGAUGAUGUGGAUUAAUUCGAUGCAACGCGAAAAACCUUACCUACCCUUGACAUGUUCAGAAGUCUUGAGAGAUUGAGAUGUGCCCGAAAGGGAACUGGAACACAGGUGCUGCAUGGCUGUCGUCAGCUCGUGUCGUGAGAUGUUGGGUUAAGUCCCGCAACGAGCGCAACCCUUGUCGUUAAUUGCCAUCAUUUAGUUGGGCACUUUAACGAGACUGCCGGUGACAAACCGGAGGAAGGUGGGGAUGACGUCAAGUCCUCAUGGCCCUUAUGGGUAGGGCUUCACACGUCAUACAAUGGUCGGUACAGAGGGUUGCCAAGCCGCGAGGUGGAGCCAAUCCCAGAAAGCCGAUCGUAGUCCGGAUUGCAGGCUGCAACUCGCCUGCAUGAAGCAGGAGUUGCUAGUAAUCGCGAAUCAGCAUGUCGCGGUGAAUACGUUCCCGGGCCU